AAAAAUUCAAAUUAAUUAAUAUUUUAUUUACAAUAAAAUUUAAGAUUAUGUUUAAUUAU
rnacentral:tRNA from 1 species